rnacentral:rRNA from 1 species
GACGAACGCUGGCGGCGUGCUUAACACAUGCCAGUCGAACGGAAAGGCCCUGCUUUUGUGGGGUGCUCGAGUGGCGAACGGGUGAGUAACACGUGAGUAACCUGCCCUUGACUUCGGGAUAACUUCAGGAAACUGGGGCUAAUACCGGAUAGGAGCUCCUGCUGCAUGGUGGGGGUUGGAAAGUUUCGGCGGUUGGGGAUGGACUCGCGGCUUAUCAGCUUGUUGGUGGGGUAGUGGCUUACCAAGGCUUUGACGGGUAGCCGGCCUGAGAGGGUGACCGGCCACAUUGGGACUGAGAUACGGCCCAGACUCCUACGGGAGGCAGCAGUGGGGAAUAUUGCACAAUGGGCGGAAGCCUGAUGCAGCAACGCCGCGUGCGGGAGGACGGCCUUCGGGUUGUAAACCGCUUUCGCCUGUGACGAAGCGUGAGGGACGGUAAUGGGUAAAGAAGCACCGGCUAACUACGU